rnacentral:lncRNA from 1 species
UUAAUUCUUCCAAAUCACAAUCUUUUUGCUCAGGCUGUCUAGAUCGUUGACCCACCACUACCAGAUCCCUCAACGGCGACUUCUUAAUAUUUGUAGAAAUUCAAUUUGGUCUUGUGGAAGGAUUGUAAUUUAGGAGGUUAUAGUUGCAUCUGCAUGUCAUUUUGGUUGUUUCUGAAAUACUAGUUCUAGUUGUUGCUCUUGAUCUGAGGAGAUCAUAUUCUGGUUCUACAAUCGAUGCUUGGAUGGUGUGUUAAAAUGAUUGGUUUUUUCAUGUCAACAUUUUUGGGCUAAAAGUUGGAACUCUUAUGAAGAUUUCAUCACAACAACCACAAACUUGCAACAUGGUUCAAGAUACAGCUCUAGCUUUAUUAAGAAAUGAAUUCAAGAUGUUAAAGUUUUACACAUUUAUUCACUUACAAUUGUAGAACUUGUUUAUACUUUGAAGAAAUAUAUACCUUUGUGUUUGU